UACGAAGGGGGCGAGCGUUGUUCGGAGUUACUGGGCGUAAAGGGCGCGUAGGCGGCGAUCCAAGUUAGGCGUGAAAGCCCCGGGCUUAACCUGGGAAUUGCGCUUAAGACUGGACUGCUUGAGUGCGGGAGAGGUGAGUGGAAUUCCCAGUGUAGAGGUGAAAUUCGUAGAUAUUGGGAAGAGCACCAGUGGCGAAGGCGGCUCACUGGCCCGAUACUGACGCUGAGGCACGAAAGCGUGGGGAGCAAACAGG
rnacentral:rRNA from 1 species